AGCAGCCGCGGUAAUUCCAGCUCCAAUAGCGUAUAUUAAAGUUGUUGCAGUUAAAAAGCUCGUAGUUGAAUUUCGGGAUCAAUAUGCUGGUCGUGCCAUUGGUACGUACUAGUAUUAUUGGUUUCUCCUUUCUGAUGAAUCAUGAUGUCAUUAAUUUGAUGUCAUGAGGAAUCAGGACUGUUACUUUGAAAAAUUGAGUGUUUAAAGCAGGCUCGCGCUUGAAUACAUUAGCAUGGAAUAAUGAAAUAGGAUGUUUGAUUCUAUUUUGUUGGUUUCUAGGAUUGACGUAAUGAUUAAUAGGGAUAGUUGGGGGCAUUAGUAUUCAAUUGUCAGAGUGAAAUUCUUGGA
rnacentral:rRNA from 1 species